rnacentral:rRNA from 1 species
CCUACGGGAGGCAGCAGUGGGGAAUAUUGCACAAUGGGGGAAACCCUGAUGCAGCGACGCCGCGUGGGUGACGAAGUAUUUCGGUAUGUAAAGCCCUAUCAGCAGGGAAGAAGAUGACAGUACCUGACCAAGAAGCCCCGGCUAACUACGUGCCAGCAGCCGCGGUAAUACGUAGGGGGCAAGCGUUAUCCGGAUUUACUGGGUGUAAAGGGAGCGUAGGUGGCAUGGCAAGCCAGAAGUGAAAAGCCGGGGCUUAACCCCGCGGAUUGCUUUUGGAACUGUCAGGCUGGAGUGCAGGAGGGGCAGGCGGAAUUCCUGGUGUAGCGGUGAAAUGCGUAGAUAUCAGGAGGAACACCGGUGGCGAAGGCGGCCUGCUGGACUGUAACUGACACUGAGGCUCGAAAGCGUGGGGAGCAAACAGGAUUAGAUACCCGAGUAGUC